GGCGUAUUGGAACCUCUCUCGCGAUCCCGCACCCAGCUUGAAUUCAGCGAGAAUCAAAAACAGGUGUGCCCCUCCAACAACCGUCAUAUCUACAGCGAUCCUUAGAGAACAAUUAAGUCCAGCUGACAGUAAAGAACAGUCAGUGUGUACUUGAAGUCCAUGCUGAGACAGCAUCAAUCUUCUGGCAGCUGCAAGACUGACCUAUCAACCGAGGCAUUUCUUCAUUCCCUGCCAUUGUCUCCUCCUCUUGAGAUCGCCAUCAGGCCCAGUCACUUUUCUACAAACAGGCAAUAGGACUCCCGCUGCCACCCUGCCCAGAUUUUAGUCCUCUACUGCUGAUAAAGUGAGCAAAGAUAUGUGGCACUUCCUGAACCCAAAUACUCUUCUGAGCUGAUUCUAAAUCCAAACAGAAUCAACCUACCUCCUAUUACCUCCUUCCAAGCUCUGUGUCCCAUUCUCUCAUUUCAGUCUCAGCUCCAGACAUCAGUGAAUUCAAUGUGAUACAUCAGGGGACAUCACAGGACUUCCCUACUUGAAAAUCAAGCAAUCGUGUCCCUGAAACACUCUGUCUUUAUUCAUGCUCAGUUACCAUAAAGUAGAUGCAACUCUAAGAACCUAUGGAUUUUUUUAUUGCCACUAAUAGAUCAUGAUUUACAGGGACUGCCGAAGCUGAGAGUAACUACCCCUGAUUUCAUUUCCAACUCAUGAAUUUUUCGCCAUCCUUCUCUGCCCGCCUUUCCUUUACUACACAGUGAGCCGCACUCCUGGAACAAGCUUCCCUUGAAGUUCACCCUCUUGAGCGCCACAGCCCCUCUCCAGCCUGCAUUCCACUGUAAGGUUGAGAAAUAUCUGAUUGUUAGUGAUGAGAGAGAAAACCUAGCCUCAUUCUCUGGUGGCCUGUCUUGCAAAAGAGAGAUGAAAUCAAACCUGGCUUCCUGAGGUGUUCCUGUUUGGCAAAACCAGCAACAUCUGGGCCCACACUACAAAAGGACCCAGAAAAUAUAGUUUAUAGCUUCCUAGCCCCUUUGAUACAGAAAAGCAUGCAAGAAAGGUGGACCAGUCAUCUGCAUCUGUCACAA
rnacentral:lncRNA from 1 species